UACGUAGGGCGCAAGCGUUGUCCGGAAUUAUUGGGCGUAAAGAGCUCGUAGGCGGCUUGUCGCGUCGGAUGUGAAAGCCCGGGGCUUAACUCCGGGUCUGCAUUCGAUACGGGCAGGCUAGAGUGUGGUAGGGGAGAUCGGAAUUCCUGGUGUAGCGGUGAAAUACGCAGAUAUCAGGAGGAACACCGGUGGCGAAGGCGGAUCUCUGGGCCAUUACUGACGCUGAGGAGCGAAAGCGUGGGGAGCGAACAGG
rnacentral:rRNA from 1 species